GUAGGUGGCAAGCGUUGUCCGGAAUUAUUGGGCGUAAAGCGCGCGCAGGCGGUCCUUUAAGUCUGAUGUGAAAGCCCAUGGCUCAACCGUGGAGGGUCAUUGGAAACUGGGGGACUUGAGUACAGAAGAGGAAAGCGGAAUUCCAAGUGUAGCGGUGAAAUGCGUAGAGAUUUGGAGGAACACCAGUGGCGAAGGCGGCUUUCUGGUCUGUAACUGACGCUGAGGCGCGAAAGCGUGGGGAGCAAACAGGGAUUAGAUACCCUGGUAGUCCACGCCGUAAACGAUGAGUGCUAAGUGUUAGGGGGUUUCCGCCCCCUUAGUGCUGCAGCUAACGCAUUAAGCACUCCGCCUGGGGAUACGGCCGCAAGGCUG
rnacentral:rRNA from 1 species